UAGGGAAUAGCUGAGUGGUGAAGUGUGAAGCUAGCAUGCACAAGGUCCUGGGUUCAAUCCCCAGUACCCCAU
rnacentral:tRNA from 1 species